CUCUGUUCAUCAUUCCUUAGACCUAAGGAUACCUUAAGUUCAGAAAUCAUAAUGUCCAUCACUACGGGGAGCUGUUUCCACUCAGUUUCCAAAGGUGGGCCUAAUACACCUGGAAAGACACAGACAAUAAGCAAAUCCAGCCCUCUUCAUAGAACUUGACAUCUUGGUUCUGGAUUGUGGCCCAUUAUGACUGCCUCCAUGGGCAACUCUGCAUUCUUUCUAUGGCCUCUGGCUUCCGUAUUCUCUGGGCGCUUACUGUGAAGAGAAGGAAUCAAAAUUGGCCUACUGCCCCCACAAACCAUACUUGAAGACAAAGCAUUGCCUGGCCUUCUACGAGAUGGCCCUGUUCCUAGCAUCUGAGUUUCCUUGUAGGAACUAUCUCCCCUGUUUACAUAGUGAAGGAACUAAUGCAGAUAUGGAUAGGGCUGGGAUUAUAGCAGAGCUAAGUUAUGACAGACUGGUUUUUUUGUUUUGUUUUUGUGAACAUCUUUUUGCCAUUUCCGGCCACCUCCCUUCCUCUGGAAACAUGCCGAUUUCAGCAAGUCCAGCCUAUCAGUUCUGCCUUCUAAAUCCAUUGGUUCAUGGUCAUCUGAGAGCACUUCUGUCACAUACAGGAGCUGCUGCCCUCACCCUCCAGACACACUUGCAGCUGAAGCUGAAUAUUGCUACUCUGGGGUUUCCUUCCAGCCUUAAAUUUCAGUUCAAUAUCUUCAGCUGCCCAGGUCAUGGCUCUGCUACUCUCCUUGAUCCUUGGUGAGUAUCUCUGCUCCUGUUGGCUUAGACUCCAGAGUUUUCUCGGAUUUUGAUCAGGACAAUCUUCCACUUGCCAAGCCUGCACAGAUUCCAUUCUUCCAAGGCAGUUGCAAACCAGAACUCACGGAGUCUGAGUGUGGGCAUGUCCUGAAGAGUAAGGGCCUGGGGCUAUUGAGGAAUUCCUUGGAAACCAAGAAAAGAAAGUAUCCCAGGACAAGCCACUGAGAUACUUGGAUUUGCCUGAAAAACUCUAGAGUGGAAGGUCAAAGCCAUUUGCACUGGACCUGGCCUCAUAGAGUCUUCAUACAGAGCGCGACUGGUGGGAGGCUCCCACCGCUGUGA